rnacentral:lncRNA from 1 species
AACUUAGGCUCCGUUUGGAUCGGGAAUUAGUAGGAACUAGUUAUACCGGGAAUAGGUACAAGUAUGAGUUUUUGUAGGAAUAAGGAUAUUUUUUUGUUUGGAUGAAAUUGUGAGUAUAAGCUGGAACUAGAAAAAUUGUGUUUGGAUGGUUUUUGAGAAUAAGAGGAAUAGUUGGUAGUUAUAAAUAGAAAAUAAUAAUAUUAUCCCUAUAAUUGAAUUUUAAACUUAUAAUUUUAAAUUUUAAAUUUUAACUUUUAAAUUUAAAUUAGAAAUUAAAAUUUUAAAUUUUAAUAUUAAAAAUAUUAAUUUUAAAUAUCAAAUUUUAAAUUUCAGACCAAAUUUAAAUUUCAAAGAUAUAAAAUAACAAAUUUAAAAUUUAAACUUUAAUAAAAUUUAAAAUUUGAAAACUUAAAAAUAUCAAAUUUAAAAUAUCAAAUUUAAAAUUUAAACUUUAAUAAAAUUUAAAAUUUGAAAACUUAAAAAUAUCAAAUUUAAA